GACAGAGUUGAGCAGUCCAAACACCUGGCCAAGGUUACUAAGCACUGCAACUUCUACCGGAGAGGAAUUGUGAUCAAUUGGUCAGAGAGAAAGGAUAAACAAGUUUAGCUUUUGCAACCACAGAACCAUUGCUGAUUCCAGACAACUGACUCCUUCAGCAAAUGCAAGCUGUUCAGCAGAUCCAGCAGCUCAGUACUGAUUUUGGUCACGACUUCACCCAGCAAACCCACAUCAGCAAUUCCUUUCCAGAAGUUUAGCGUAUCCUCUGGAGACAUGCAGGACACAGCAGGUGAGGCUGGGGUAGGCCACCUCAACCACACGCAGCAUCAGCACUGGGGCGCCCCAAGGUUGUGUCCUCUCUCCGCUGCUCUUCUCUCUCUACACGAACGACUGCACCUCAACACACCCGGCUGUCAAACUCCUGAAGUUUGCAGAUGACACACUGUCAUCGGCCUCAUGAAGGACGGUGACAAGUCUGCAUAUCGACAUGAAGUGGAGCGGCUGGAGCUGUGGUGCGGCCGACACAACCUGGAACAGAACACGCUCAAGACUGUAGAGAUGAUCGUGGACUUCAGGAGGCAUACUUCGCCACAGCUGCCCCUCACGCUGUCCAACUGCCUUGUGUCAACCGUCGAGACCUUCAAGUUCCUGGAAAUUACAGUCUCUCAGGACCUGAAGUGGGCGAUCAACAUCAACUCCGCCCUCAAAAAGGCCCAGCAGAGGAUGUGCUUCCUGCGGCACAUCCGCAGUUCUACACAGCGGUCAUCGAAUCAGUCCUGUGUUCUUCCAUCACAGUCUGGUUUGGUGCUGCUACAAAAAAGGACAAACUCCGACUGCAACGGACAAUCAAAACCUCUGCAAAAUUGUCGGUACCCCCCUACCCAGCCUUGAGGGCUUGCACGCUGCCAGAACUAAGACAAGAGCGUGCAAAAUCCUCUUGGACCCGCCACCUCCUGGUCACCAGCUCUUCCAGCUCCUUCCCUCAGAAACAGGCAAAGGCUACAAUACAAUACCAAGCAGUUCAUUCCAGUUCAUAUAGUUACCAUGGUGGAGGACCAGAGGAGAAAGCAUAGAAGUCCUGCUCACACCAAAUGAGCAACAUGGAUACACAGCACCGCAGGAAGAUCACAACUUCAUCUGACCAACAGACGACUUGCCAACAAUCCUCAAAAGUAGGCAUGUUCGUCACUUUUUUUCCAGACGGAUACCAGUACGAGUUUUCAAUAUUUUUUGAAGAGUUGAUGAAUGAAGAAAAUGAGAGAGAAGGAAUAGUAGAAAAGACAAGUGUGGUGGACCAGGAAGUAAGGGGGAAGUUAAAAAGGCACUAAAGAGGAUGAAAAAUGGAAAGGCAGUUGGUUUUGACCACCUUGUUCAACAGAAUUCUAGCAGGUGAGAAGAUGCCUGAGGAAUGGAGGAAAAGUGUGCUGGUGCCCAUUUUUAAGAAUAAGGAGCUGUGGGUACUACAGAGGAAUAAAGGUAAUGAGCCACACAAUGAAGUUAUGGGAAAGAGUGGUGGAGGCUAGACUCAGGACAGAAGUGAGUAUUUGUGAGAUGAGGUUAUAUUCGAGUCCUCGUGGACCAUGAUAUUUGCAGAUGACAUUGUGAUCUGCAGGGAGAAGGUGGAGGAACAGUUAGAAAGGCAUCCACUGGAAAGGAGAGGAAUGGAGAUUAGCCGAAGUAAGACAGUAUAUGUGCAUGAAUGAGAGGUGGCGGUGGAAAAGUGAGGCUCCAGGGAGAAGAGAUAGCGAGCGUUGAGGACUUUAAAUACUUGGGGUCUCCAGUCUAGAGCAAUGGUGAGUGUGGUAAGGAAGUGAAGCGAGUCCAAGCAGGUUGGAACCGGUGGAGGAAGGUGUCAGGUGUGUUACGUGACAGAAGAGUCUCUGCUAGGAUGGACAGUGGUGAGGCCAGCCAUGAUGUACGGAUUAGAGACAGUGGCACUGAAGAGAGAACAGGAAGCAGAGAGGGUGGUGGCGGAAAUGAAGACGUUGCGGUUCUCUCUAGGAGUGACCAGGUUGGAUUGGAUAGGAUCAGAAAUGAGCUCAUAAGAGGGACGGCAAACGUUAGAUGUUUUGGAGACAAAGUUAGAGAGAGCAGACUUCGAUGGUUUGGACACGUCCAGAAGAGAGAUAGUGAGUACAUUGGUAGAACGGUGAGUAGGAUGGAGCUGCCAAGCAAGAGAACUCAAGGAAGACCAAAGAGAAGGUUGAUAGAUGUGGUGAGGGAAGAUAUGAGGGCAGUUGGUGUUUUGGUGUUGUAGAGAAAGAGGCAGAAGAUAGGCUUACAUGCAAAAGGAUGAAGGACUCUGAUGACCCCUAACGGGACAAGCCGAAAGGACCAAGACCAAUACGAGUACUCAAACUUCAGUACUCACCGAUACAGAGUACCCAUACCACUGGUACUUUUGAUACAUAAAAUUUAAAUUAAUACAUUGACAAUUAAUUGUAAACAAAUACUUUUCUUUCUUCCUGACACGUUAUUAUUCGCUAAUGAGUCUAAUCACUGCACUAUAGUGCCAACUACUGGUGAGGAGGACUUAUUCCAUGUCAGUUUUUUAUUUUACCUUAAGUAUCGGUGGGUGGUAUCAGCAGCCUUCAUGUGUACCUGAUACCUAGAAAUAAGGCCAGUAUCGACCCGAUACCUGGUAUCGGUACUCGCCCAUCCCUACUCAAAAGGAACAAACUCUUCACCACAUGCUCUGCUGCAUCCGUUAUGAGAUUGGAAUGCUGAGCGAGUAGCGAAGGUCCAGUGGAGGUGACUACCAAUUGGGUGCAACGGAACAUGGAACAACCAUGGAUUUAAAAUAUAUAUCCACAACAAACAAAUCACAUGGGCCAUAAUGCAAAUCCUUUAAAGCCCAACAAUUGACCAGUCUUAUUCUUUCUGCAGCAAUGUUUACAUACUCAUCCACUAUGAUAACGCGGCUUAACUUUAUGUCAAUUUCUGAGUUUGAUGUAUGUGUAACCAAUGUAACCAUCCAAGAGUAAGUGAUUAAAGAAUAACCAAAAGGAAGGCGUGUAAUGGAAAAUUGUAUCGUAUAACUUGUACCUUUAAUAGCGAAUCGCAACACCUGGGACUGAAUAGAUUAUUCAAGUGUGACUCCAGUUUGUCUGAUCAAGAACAAUAGUGUUAAUUUUUACAG